UGGGGAAUAUUGGACAAUGGGCGCAAGCCUGAUCCAGCCAUGCCGCGUGAGUGAUGAAGGCCCUAGGGUUGUAAAGCUCUUUCACCGGUGAAGAUAAUGACGGUAACCGGAGAAGAAGCCCCGGCUAACUUCGUGCCAGCAGCCGCGGUAAUACGAAGGGGGCUAGCGUUGUUCGGAUUUACUGGGCGUAAAGCGCACGUAGGCGGACUUUUAAGUCAGGGGUGAAAUCCCGGGGCUCAACCCCGGAACUGCCUUUGAUACUGGAAGUCUUGAGUAUGGUAGAGGUGAGUGGAAUUCCGAGUGUAGAGGUGAAAUUCGUAGAUAUUAGGAGGAACACCAGUGGCGAAGGCGGCUCACUGGACCAUUACUGACGCUGAGGAGCGAAAGCGUGGGGAGCAAACAGG
rnacentral:rRNA from 1 species